rnacentral:rRNA from 1 species
UAUGUGAUCGUCUCUCGCAUAUCAAUAAGCGGAGGAAAAGAAACUAACAAGGAUUCCCCUAGUAACGGCGAGUGGAGCGGGAAGAGCUCAAAUUUGAAAUCUUAAAGGGUUUCCCUUUACGAAUUGUAGUUUAAAGAAGUGUUUUCUGUUGAGGUUUUGGUAAAAGUUCUUUGGAAUAGGACAUCAUAGAGGGUGAGAAUCCCGUAUUUGACCUUUACCUUUCAACUUUGUGAUACACUUUCAAAGAGUCGGAUUGUUUGGGAAUGCAGUCCAAAAUGGGUGGUAAAUUUCAUCUAAAGCUAAAUAUUGGCGAGAGACCGAUAGCGAACAAGUACCGUGAGGGAAAGAUGAAAAGAACUUUGAAAAGAGAGUUAAACAGUACGUGAAAUUGUCAAAAGGGAAGCGUUUGACACCAGUGUUGUUUUUCUGAAAAUCAAUUAAAGAACUGUUUAUGCUAAGCUGUUUAGACUUUAUCAGCUAUCUGUUUAGUUUUGAGCUUUUCUUUAAUGCACUCUUCAGUUAACAAGUCAACAUCAAUUUCUUUUGCUGUAAAAAAGCUUGAGGAAGGUGGCUUGAGAUUCGUCUUAAGUGUUUAUAGCCUCUUGCCUAUGCAGUCGGAGAGAUUGAGGUCUGCAGCGUAGAUCCUUCGGGGCUAAAUGCAUUUGUGCUAAGUUAUAGCAUUUUAUAGACAACUUGUUGACUAUGAUUUGUCUUGUAGCUUACUCGCUUAUGUUAUUUUACCUACGCUUAGGAUGUUGAGUAGCGACAUACGCAC